AUGGCGGAGGAAUCGUGGAGCAACUCCCCUCCGUCUGCCAAGAGAAUGGCGGAGGCAUCAUGGAGCAACUCCCCUCCGUCUGCCAAGCAUCACCAAGGUGAGGCGUCUAGCAAGGAGCCGCUGCUGGUCGACGACGAUGUUCCGGUCCCCGGGCAGAAGCAGGACUACACCGUGCCGCUCAUGGUUGAUAUCCACCUGAAGAAGGAGAAGCUGGAUGUUGUAUGCACCAGCAAUCCAGACGAAGCCGACAAGAGGAUCCGCGAGAUCAGGAGGAGGCUCAGCGGCAUGCUUUCUCGGUUGAUCGGCGUUGAUGUCGAGUAUACGAGGGAAGACGAACCUCCGCAAAAGUCUGCAGUUCUACAGUUAUGCAUGGAGGAUCUCGUCCUGGAGAAGAAGCUGUACACCUUUGUUGGCUUCUCCAUUGGAGGUGACAAGGAGAAGCUGAAAUUGUCUGGUUUGGAGAUCAACCCCGAAAAGUACAUCGACAUGCAGCAAAAACGCAGCUCUACUAAAAGUGGAUUGGUGGCACAAAAUUGCUACACUCAGUCGAUCUACCUAGCAUUAUCAGCAUGGAUACCAUUGAGACGUGAACAGAAACUGGGGUACCUGCGCUAUCCUGCGGUAGUUGAGGAGAUGGAUCCGGCCGAUCCCGUUUGA
rnacentral:rRNA from 1 species